AUUGAACGCUGGCGGCAGGCUUAACACAUGCAAGUCGAACGAGUGGCGGACGGGUGAGUAAUGGUUGGGAAUCUGGCUUAUGGAGGGGGAUAACGAGGGGAAACUGUCGCUAAUACCGCGUAACAUAGGAUGAGGUGACGUGGGAUUAGGUAGUUGGUGGGGUAAUGGCCUACCAAGACGACGAACUCUAGCUGGUCUGAGAGGAUGACCGGCAACACCGGGACUGAGACACGGCCCUGACUCCUACGGGAGGCAGCAGUGGGGAAUAUUGCGCAAUGGGGGCAACCUGACCCAGCUAUGCCGCGUGAAUGAAGAAGGCCUUCGGGUUGUAAAGUUCUUUCGUUAACGAAGCGUUAUUCACAGAAGAAGCACCGGCUAACUCCGUGCCAGCAGCCGCGGUAAUUC
rnacentral:rRNA from 1 species